GCCCUCGUAGCUCAGGGGAUAGAGCGUCUGCCUCCGGAGCAGAAGGUCGUAGGUUCGAAUCCUAUCGAGGGCACCA
rnacentral:tRNA from 35 species